rnacentral:lncRNA from 1 species
GUUCCUAUAUUGGCAUGUAAGAGGCAAUAAGCCCUUUAACAAUGUCAUGGCAAUGAGCAAGUGCGCUGGUAUUAAAUUGAAAGAUAUGGUUUUUAGCGACAGGCUUUGUGGCUCUUUGCACAAAUUUACCGCUACUCAGCAAUGUUCAAUUACUCCCACCUAUUGUUGUCUCCCAGCAAAUGGACAGGAAGAUGUUCUGUGUCCAAUCACCCAGGC